GGGGCAAGUCGUUUGGCGACAGGACCCCCUCGGACGCCAAAUUUUGGCAUCGCUUCUCGGCUUUUGCCUAAGAUCAGAGGCUUCUGGUCGGUAAAAAGCUGUGGUUGGUACUAGUUGUAACCAGCGGGUUUAGCUGGUGUACAACAGGUAAAGGUAAAGGUACGGAGGUUGCGGCGUGCUUCCUUUGGUUUCCCCUGGUUGGUAUUGGUACUUGGCAGGUUGGGCUGCCUGGUUAAGGUGCGGGUGACAGGGACUGGUAUUUGUCCUGUGUCACUGGUUUAGGUACGGGUGGCAGGGACUGGUAUAUGUCCUGUGCCACUGGUAAGGUACGAGUGGUGGGAACGAGGGUUUUACGUUCCGCAUCACAGUGGAAAAAAGUAAAAAAAUAUAAAAAGGUUAAGGUACAGGAAUUGGAGGGACGGGUUUGGUCCCUUGCAAUUCUGGUAGUGCUUGUGUCAUCGUCUGGGACAGUGGGCCAAGUCGCCUUUGCAACCCAAACUCAGUUGAAUUAUGGAUACUGAUGAACAAUCUGAGGAUUAUUAUGCUAUAUACUUAGAAGAAAUUCUUGGAACUGAUAAAACUGAUGAGAAAACAACAGAGGAAAUAAUAGAGAUACAACGUCUGGAGGAACAGUUAAGUGAAAAAAUAGAUACUGUAAAGAAGAAAACUUAUUCUGAAAUACUAAGAUCAACAAUUGAAGAAAAACAGGGUAUUUUUAGUAAUAGUAUAGAGAUAAGUAAUUCUAGUGAUAAAACCAGUUUAAAUUAUGCAAUAAAUAAUUAUAAAGAGCGGG
rnacentral:lncRNA from 1 species